ensembl:misc_RNA 7SK 7SK RNA
GGAUGUGAGGGCGAUCUGGCUGCGACAUCUGUCACUCCAUUGAUCGCCAGGGUUGAUUAGGCUGAUCCGGCUGGCUAGGCGGGUGCCCCCUUCCUCCCUCACUGCUCCAUGUGCGUCCCUCCCGAAGCCGCACGCUGGGUCAGUCAAAGCAGACGACCAUCUCCGAUAGAGGAGGACCGGUCUUCGGUCAAGGGUAUACGAGUAGCUGCGCUCCCCUGCUAGAACCUCCAAACAAAAGCUCAGGCCUGGAGUUCUACAAGCCCCUGUAUUGUUGCACUCUCUUCUUGGUAAAGUGCUUCUUUCGUUUUCUCUA